rnacentral:lncRNA from 1 species
CCUGUGUCUACUGUAAUGACAGGCUGGGCAGAGGUACUGAUGCGGAAGCGGGAGUCUGCCUUUCCCCUUCUUUUAAAAUGUAACCUUGACUAGAAACAAGGUCCGUGGAAACGUAUUUUACCUACAACGUAGUUAAAAAGGAGAUAGAUCCUAGUGUUUAUCUAACGCAGUACAUGAUCAUAAACCAAAACUGAAAAGGACUGAUACCCGUGUUUUCCAACUUUUAGGUGCAUUAUUUUCCGCCCUGGGGCUGUCUAAAAAGUAAUUCAUGGGCUUUCGAGUUUCUGUUCUCUAGUUCUGGCUUGGGGAAUCCUUGAAUUUUGCACGUUUAAUAAGCUUUCCAGGUGAUGCUGAGGCCCUUGUUUGAGGACCACAUUUUGAGAACCACUGUUCUAGAAAGAGUACAUUGUUAGGCUGGGCCGUGCAGCAGCACUCCUGCAAUCUCAAGGGAGCCUGGGGCAGGAGGAUUGCCAGCCUCAGCAAUUUGGUGAGACUGUGUCUCAAAAAAAAAAGAGAACAUCUGGCUAUGUAGGUCAAUGGUUGAAGCACCCCUUUACCGAGUUCACGCUACAGUACCAAAAACAACAACAAAACCCUUCAUCAAUAACUCCUUAAUAUCCAGACUACAUAUGUAUUUUUGAAAUGUUCUUUUCCUGUUGUGUGCCUUUUAUACUGUUAGAAUGGUAAACAUAAUACUGUUCCUUUCCAUGAAGAAUUAAGGUCCUGUUGAGGAGACAAGAAAGAUACAAAGUACACAAAUUCAUGGGUAUUGCUAACCAUACCCUAAUAGUGUUACCAGAGUCCUAGGCCAGAGGCCUGAUUCUGGGGAUCCAAUAAAUCAGAGCCAGCUGUAACAGAGGUUCACUUGAUGUUUUGACUGUAUUCCUUGUCGCUUUUUUUUCUUUUUCCCGAUCUUCUUUUCCCUAACAUCCUUCUUGAUCUUCUUUUCCCUAAUCUUCCUGACCUUCUCCUCCCUAAUCUCAUUUUCUCUGGAUCACCCCUAGAAGCCCCCCUAUUCUUGCUAAUGGGCAGAAUCACAGCCUUUGGGACA